rnacentral:lncRNA from 1 species
UGGCCGGGAACCAUGGCCAGUGGGAGCUGUGGGGGCGGUGCCUGCAAGCGAGACUGGCGUGUGGAGCCUCCUGGCCCCCGCACCUGGGACCCGGACCUGCUGGCUGCUUCCAGGGUGCGCACAGCGCAAUCAGAGGGGCUGGGAGAGGCUGGGACCCUGCCUUAUCUCCCCCCACCCCAUUGCCCCACUGACCAGGAGCCGCCCGAGGAUUAUUUCCCGGAUUCGUGCCCCAAUCAGAGCUGCCUCCUGCUGGCCAAGAUCCAGGAGGUGAAUCUCGGGCUGCGAAACCUACUGGCCAGCCCUGGAAAGGCUGACCCCCCACCCUGCUUCCCCUCCAGCCGGUUUGGGGGCCCCCUCUUCCAAAUGGGAAAGCAGCAGGAAUUUCAGCAGCAAGCCGUGAACGUGCUGAAGGAGCAGAACCGCCUGCUCAUCAAGGGUGCGGCAAUUGGUCAAGAUGGCCAACUCUCUCGGGGUCUCUGCCCUGCGCCCUGGUGGCUCGGUUGGCUGAGAAGUCGCAUAACAAGAUGGCCACCUGAUUGUUCUAUUCCUAGAGUGGCAAGGGGAGGUGUCGGAGAAGAGCGACCGCAUCGCCCAGCUGGAGCAGGAGAAGGCGGCCCUGUGCAGGCAACUCCAGGAGAGCCGGGGCUACCGGCUGUCCAGCCACAAGGAGUCCACCUUCAUCUGAUGGACGAGGUCACUUCCUCCUGCAGACCUACCUGACGAGGUCACUUCCUCCUGCAGACCUACCUGACGAGGUCACUUCCUCUCUCACACCAGCCAGACCCUUCUGAGAGAAAAGACCUAAUUUUCACCCAACACAAUGAUAUCACUUCCUGUCGAUCUCCCAAGGCCAAUGAGGUUAUUUCCUUCUGUCCCACCCCCCCAAUCCACAAUGAAGUCAUUUCCUGCUGGACCUGGAAGGAACUAGCUCACUUCCUCCUCCUGGCCUAUUAUGUAAUUUCCUCCUUCCUGUCAUUGGUCCAUGAUGUCACUCUCCUGAUGGUAUUACAUCAUCUUCAGACUCUGCUGACAUCACUUCCACUUCAGAGCCUUUAGGUGUCACUUCCUCCCGUUCCUCCUGCUCGCCUUUUCUGAUGAUGUCACUGAGGUCUUCACUUCCUGUCCCUUCUUCCUCCAGCCCCUGUGCGGUUUCAUCAUGGUCAAUUCCAACCCCGCCCCACCCUCUGAGGUCACGGCAUUUCUCAUGGACACACGCACACAGCCUGACACAACCACCCCAUGAUGUCACACUCCUGGCUUCCUGUCAUCUGGGAGCCUCCCGAUGACAUCACUUCCCAUUUUGACAGGCUGGUCUCCGAGACUGGGGAGCAGGGGGAAAACAACAGUGAAGAAUUAUGGGUAACAAGAGGGCUAAUAACCGACUGUCCAAAGAGGCUUUCAAUGGGGAAUACCCACAGUGCUUUGCAUCAGCACCAGCAUGACCCUUCACUAUAGAUCUAUGGGAUCCCCACCCCACCCUGCAUCCCCGUCCACUUCCCCUUUGACUCCCCCUCUCCCCCCACACACACCUGUCAACCUUACUUUUACCUGUGUGCAUUUUCAGGGUUCCCUCCCUGACCCCUCUGUGGAGUGUGACACAUUGUCUAUGUCUAAGUGCCCUCUAGUGGCUGGAUUCAGACCUGCACAUGUGUCAUUAGCCCUCUAGAGCUAAAAGCUGAUGGGGAUUCUCCUUCCACCACCUACCUUUACCCACAGCAUCCCUUUGACAACACAUGGCGUGAGCUUUAACCUCCGUGUUAGCCCCCAUCCACCCCCACUUCAGACAAGGGAUGUGGGGGGAAGACGCCUCCAAGAUAUUUAUUCUAAUGGCUGUAAAUAAAUUGAUUAGAAUUAAUAUAAUAAAGUUAUAA